GACGAACGCUGGCGGCGUGCUUAACACAUGCAAGUCGAACGGAAAGGCCUGCUUUCCCUUGUGGAUUGCGGGUACUCGAGUGGCGAACGGGUGAGUAACACGUGAGUGAUCUGCCCCCAACUUGGGUAUAAGCCUGGGAAACUGGGUCUAAUUCCCGAUAGGACUGCAGGGUGGUGCCUGUGGUGGAAAACGAUUUUCUAGUGGUUGGGGAUGAGCUCGCGGCCUAUCAGCUUGUUGGUGGGGUAAUGGCCUACCAAGGCGGCGACGGGUAGCCGGCCUGAGAGGGUGGACGGCCACAUUGGGACUGAGAUACGGCCCAGACUCCUACGGGAGGCAGCAGUGGGGAAUAUUGCACAAUGGGCGGAAGCCUGAUGCAGCGACGCCGCGUGGGGGAUGACGGCCUUCGGGUUGUAAACUCCUUUCGACCGCGAGGAAGCCACCUGGUUGGAAGGGUUGUGACGGUAGUGGUAGAAGAAGCACCGGCUAACUACGUG
rnacentral:rRNA from 1 species